rnacentral:tRNA from 2 species
AGUGAAAUGGCCGAGAAUAGGCGAUAAAUUGUAAAUUUAUUUACGGGGCUUCUCUUUUACU